AAAAAUAAGUCAAGCAUCUGUCAUCGCCAAACUGGCAAACUCAUCUACUGUCUCACUACUUCUCCAUUAACCUUUCUCUAUCUAUAAAAUAGUGAGGAAUCGAAGAAGAAAAUUCAGUAAAAUUAAAAAUUGAAAAUGGUGGUAGAAUUGUUUGUGUUAGGAUGCACUGGUAUGGUCAUGUUCUUUCAUGGUGCUCAUGUUCUCUUCCAUGUCCUCUCUUCUCAUGUUGCUCUUCGUUCUCUCAGUUUCCUUGGAUUUGUUGGAUGGUGAAUUCAACAGAUUACAGAUGAGAGGUGGUGAUCACUGAUCAGAAGAUAAACUUAGUUUUGUAGAUAAUCAUUUUGUAUCCCUGUUUAUUGGAUUAAUAACAAUAAUAUUCUUA